UUUUUUUUUUUUUUUUUUGUCAGCAUAGAGGUAUCUGGGUCCAUGGACUAGUUACCGUACGACCCAACUGUGACGCCCCGAAAAAAAAUGAGUUUGAGAACCCGGAAAUUUUCUAAUUUUCUAGGGUUAAUUUUUUUGUAACGCCCGCCUUUUCUACAUUUUCUUGAUUAGAAAAAAAUCCCAGAUAAAGUUUAUGAGCAAAUAUCGUUUUCAAAUGAUUUUUCUAGUAUUGGUGAGUUUUUAGAAAAUUAAGAAUAUAUAUUGGACGUGGGACCCACUAGUGCGAAAAGUUCGGAAAAAUUCGGCCAAUUAGGUUAAAUUCCGGAUACUGUGUAAAAUUUAUCGGGUGUUAAGAGAUAAGUAGGGUAUGUGAAGUGAUUGAUGUGAGAGAGAAAAGAAAGAUAAGAAUGCAUUUAAUGAGGUGACAAGUGUCAUCUUCUCAUUGGUUGCCUUUUAAGAAUUACUAGUCAUAAUUUUGACUUUUUUGACCAAAGGUUAAAUAUCCAAAAAUUGCACAAAAUUCACCAUUUUUCUCUCCUUGUUGGCCGGCCACCUUGAGCAAGAAAGGAAGGAGAUUUCUUCAAUUUUCAAGCUUCUACUUGGUGCAAAUCAACCAAAAACAUUUGCUUCCAUCCAUUUCACUCCAUAAAAUUCUUCCUUCUAGAGCUAGUAAGUUGUUUGGUGAACUUUGUUUGAAGGACUAAGGUGCACAACAUCUUCCUCUCUCUUGGUUCUUGGUAAGUGAAGCUUGAAAUACUCUACUACACCUAAUGAUGGUUAUAUGAUGCUUAAUGGUGGCAUGAGUGAAGGAAUAUAUGAUUUAUUUCUUGAUUUGAAGAGUUUUGGUGAAGUUUUUAUUUUAUUAGGAAUUUUUCUGGUUUAAUAUGAAGGGGAUGUUGUGGCCUUGUAUGAUGAAUGGUAAUGGCUGAUAAUGACUCUAUGAGGUGUAUUGGAUAAGAAAAUGCAAUCAAUUUUGGAUUUGGAAGAAUUUCUGGAAAAUUAGGGUUCUUGAAGCUACAUUCUGUUCGAAAUUUUAGGUCAUAGCUAGAGGCCGAAUUGGACUUUGCUCAAAACAUGAAAGUUGUAGGUAUUGAUGAUUUUAGUGUGCCUGCAAAAUUUCAGGGCAAUUGGACUAGUGUAGAGUGAGUUAUGCCGUUUUUACUGUUGCUGUUUUUGGUGCACAGAAUGUCCGAACUGCGAUAGUAAUUGCCUGUUUGGACUGGUAUUGGUUUGGAUUUUGAAGUUGGUGUCUUCUGAUGAAAUGUAGAUGGAUGUCUUAAAUAACUUAUGCCUUUGGAAUUUCGGCAUUUGGACUUGUAUGGACUGAGAUAUACCGAUUACAGUUUUCUGUGUUUUGCAAACCUGUUUUGGUGAUUCUGGUUUAGUGUUUGGCAUUUUUGACCUAGUUGGGUCAGGAACUGGAUUGAGUGACCUUCUACAUUGUUGUAGCCCUGUCUCUUAGCUUCGAAACGGUGGGUCUUACACCUUCAUCCGACCAUCGUACUGCUUUUGGUACCAUUACCGCAAAAGGACAUCAAAUCUGUUUUGGGUUUUAGGGCUUGGAUUCGGACAAGAUAAUGGUAUAUGACGGAUGGGUUCUGAGCCGUGGAGGUGAGUGACCCUAAACUAUUUCCAAAGUACUUGUGAAAUGUUUCUUGCAUUAAUUAUUCGAUUGCAUAUCAUGCGUGCUUGCAUGUGAAUUCAUGACAUGAUUUGGCUUCAAUGAGUUCUGGGAAAGUCUUGUGCUGGACACCAACGUAUCCACCUUGUUAUGGUUCAUGUUCAUGGUUAUCUGGAGCACCGAUGUUGCUCCCACUUUCGUGAGUUCGUGAGUUAAUGUUAAAUGAAAUAUUUGAGCGUUGGGUGUUCAAGUGCUAUGAUUUCACCGGCUCACGAGAGCACUAAACGGACAUUUGAUCUCUGAAUCAUGACAUCAUCGAAAUCAUCGAAAUGCAACAUUGUGAAAUAUAUUUGCUUAAUGAUUUUGCUGGUUACUCGCUGAGCUUUUAGCUCACCCCAAAAAUAUUUUAUUCCCCUCCACAGGGCUCAAGGCGAAGGAAGGACUUAUAGUACUUGUGCACGUGAUUGGAUGGCCUAUGUGUUGUACAGUUUUGAUUUGGAAUCAUUUUAUGUAUAGUUAGGAAUUGUUUCCGCUGCAUUUGUGACAUGUAAUUUUUGGAGACUUGGAUGUAUAAUUGUGGACCAUGUGAUGUAUAUUUGAGAUGUAUAUUGUAAUUUAUUUGAGAACUUUAGUGAACGACUGAGUCCCGGCGAGAGUCGGGCAGGCGGCCCGCCGAACCCUCUGGUUCGCCUUAGGGGGAGGUGGGGUCGUUACACCAACUAUUCCUCUGCGGGUCGGGAGAGGCCACCCAACAUCACCGACCGUUGCACCCAGGAUUCGAACCUUUGCAGUGGUACUCACCUAACUAGGCUACUACCACUCUCUGUAUCGUUUCUUAUCUUGUCAUUUCCUGCCAUUUUCUGUAUCUUCUUCUCUUAAUAUCAAUAUAUGAAUUUUGAGCUAUUUUCCUGUUGAUCUUAUUGAUAUCAAUAUAUUAUUGCCUUGGACAGUUACCAUCAAAUUCUGAUUGCCAUUCCAUUUGCCAAUUUUACUCUAUUGUCCUUGGCUUGGUACCAUCACAAAUUCAAACCACCUCCGUCACCAAGUUUUGCCUCCCGAUGGCAAUUAGGACUUUAGGAAGACCAAAAUUUCCCAUCCAACUAAAUUCAAUCCACAAUUUUAACCAAGAAUUCCCAAACCCAGUAUUCAAACAAUUCUCCACAGAUCCAAAAAAAGCCCUAACUUCGAUCCCGCGAAAAUCCCAUGAAAGGAACCUAAUUUCCCUUUCAGGUCUCUUUCGCAGGUAUGGUUUUCAACCCUCUCAAAUCAGCAAUUUCCUCAAAAGUAAUCAAUUUUUACUCAAUUUGAAGCCGUCCCAUGUCCAAAAGUCCCUCAAAAUUCUCUUAUCUUUGAAACCCUCACAAGAAUUUCUUUCUUCUGUUGUAUAUAGUUGUCCUAGUAUUUUAGACUUUGAUUUUCUUGAAAAAUGGGAAACCAAGUUUUCUGAUAUGGGAAUCUCUAAUUUUACAUCUUCAGCCAUCAGGAAUAUUUUUGAGGUUUCUAGGAGAUUUGAGUUGGGACCAGAUGAUGCUUUAAGGUGUGUAAUGUGUUUAAAAGGUUUAGGGUUUAGUGAGAGUACUGUGGUUAAUGUUUUGGAGGCAUUUCCCUUGGUGAUCAUGAUGGAUGAAGAUAGAAUUCGCGAUAAAAUGGUAUUCUUGAUGGAUAUUGGUUUUGAAAAAGAUGAUGUUGAUCGUAUUAUUCGCCUGUUUCCAUUUUCUAUGGCAUUUGAGGUUGGGAAAAAGAUGAAACCAUUGUUUGAUGAAUUUGAGGAUCUUGGUUUUAGCUUGGAUGUGGUUAGGUGGGAGGUCCUUAGAGACCCUCGAGUGCUUGGUAUGGAAGUUGGUGAGCUUACACAGUGUUUGAAAAUGCUGAGGAGUUUGAAAUGUAGAACUGUGAUUAAGGAGAAUAUUUUCCGUAUUGGAGCUUUUAGGGCCGGGUAUGAAGUGAAAAUGAGGGUUGAUUGUUUGAGGAAAUAUGGGUUGACAUAUAGGGAUGCUUUUACAGUGUUGUGGAAAGAGCCAAGGGCACUCCUGUAUGAGAUAGUGCACAUUGAGAAGAAAAUUGAUUUUCUUCUGCAAACUAUGAAAUUUGAUGUUUUCUGUCUGGUUCAAGUUCCAGAGUACUUGGGGGUAAACUUUGAGAAAAAGGUUGUGCCCCGAUACAAUGUGAUAGAAUAUUUGAGCUCAAGUGGUAGGCUUGGGGAUGAAGUAGGAUUGAGGGGCUUGAUUAAGCCUAGUCGGUUGAGGUUUUACAAUCUCUAUGUGAAGCCUUAUCCAGAGUGUAAGAAAUUAUAUGGGAGAUAUGCAGCAGCUGAAGUUAAAAGUAGGCAUCCAGCUGGAAUGUGGAAGCUUUUCCAACCACAAAAGCAUUCAGAAUCUAGAGAAGAUGUUGAAAACAUCAGGUCUUUCAUGGAGUCUAUAACUUAGUUCAAGGUUUUGUAUGAUUUCCCAGACAAAUGCUAGGGAGAAUACUAGUUGUAUAUCAGUUUAAGGUAUAUCAGUUUUCCAUGUCAUUGUUUCUGCAAAUAAUCUGAUAUAACCAUUUGGAAUUGAUUUUUCACCAUUUUCUUUGAUUAACUAACUUAUGCUUCUGCUGUUAGGCUUGAUAUUGAUCAAGAAUACAAGUUAAUAGAAAAUAUGGUCUGAAAGAAAAUCAUUGUCACUAUGAUUCAACUUCUUCAAGGAAAAGACUUCAAUGUCUUCAAAUAUUGCUUUCUCCUCUAGCUGAUUUACUAAGACAAAUGGAUCAUUCCAUUGCACUCAGGUGUCAUGCCACACUGUAAAAAAGAGCUAAUCUUGCCUUUCAUUGUUUUGUGAACUUUUCUCAGAGUUAGGCUUAUCGUUUCAGUUCAGUAGAUGAUUGGAUGUGGGAGGCACUGUGCUUAUAUCAUGAAGAUACUUCCUGUCAUUGCAGGUCAGUGCUGUUUUGCUUUACUGGAACUGAAGUUGGGUUGCUAUUAAAAAAGACGAUGUGCUAUCAAACUGACUUUCUUUCUGGUUAAGAGUUAUAUUUUCAAUGACACACUGAUUGCCAAGAUGUAAUUUAAUGUGACAGUGCUCUGUUAUGUCAACACUCACACACACACAUAAUAUCAAACAGCUAUUGCUGAUCGAACAAUUCAAUUGCUCUUUGUCUGUGUGCAUGUGGAGCUGUAUAUAUCUUUGGUUUAUGAUUCCAGAACUUGGAAACUGUUCAUUUGUGAAGGCUUCUUGGGUGUGUGGAUUAAGUUAAAUGGGAUUGACCUUAAUAUUUGUUCUUUCUGGCAGUUGUAGGCAUCAGUGCUAUCCAAAUGCAAUGGUCUUUUUACUCGAGUGCUUGUCAUUUUAGACAAGAACUUCCAGCUUCUGAAGUACUAAAUGUUGAUCACCUUCAAGAAAUAAUUGUUGCAUCAUUUUGCAAGGUUAUUGAGAUCGUGCAAUUUAAAAAAAAAUAAUAAAUAAACUGCAGAUAAAGAGAUGUAGAGAGAGCAACAGAAUAUGAAAAAGGGGGAAGGUGAAAUAUUUGAUAAACAAUAAUCUGAUACCUUUUUUGGUUGUAGCCAAUUAGGCUUGAUUAGUCAUGGUUGAGACAGGAAAAAAUAAGGAUUGAGUUUUUUUUUUUCCUGCUGCUGCUUAUUAUUCUUUAAAUGCUCAACUGGGUUUGGAGGUUUCUGAGCAUGUGUGAAGACUAUUUGGAAUCAUUUUCUGAAAUUUACAUUUUUUUGGAAUUUUUUAUUUAGAAUUAAUUGUGUAUUGUGGUGGUGAUUUUUUUGUUUUUUUUAUCAUACUUCUUAUGACACUUACUUUUUACCCAACUACAAUGUUGUAGGGAGAUAUAUUAUCUAUUUUGCUCUUAUUUUGAUAUGUGGCCUCUAAUUUAACAAUUGUCCUUUUUGUAAAUUGUCUUUUGUUCUCUUUUGAUCAUAUAUCAUUGGUCUGCUUGUCUUGGCUUUCUUUCCACCAAAGGUCAUUGGCCUUUCAUUUCCCACCUUUCUGUGGAGUGGAUAACAAUAUAAAAAUUUGGUCAAUAAUAGUUGAAGUGCUGAUAUUUUCCUGAGUGUUCCUAAAAUUUAGGCUUCAUGUCAACUAAUCAAUCAUAUUUUUGCAGGUUUACAAAGUUUUUUAGUUUCAGAAAUUUAGCAUGAUCCAUUUAUAGUAUGGACAUUAUUGGCCUAACAUAAGACAUAAAUAAAGGAAGGUAUGAAAUCAAUAUACAGCUACUGGUUUCAUUAGACAGUGGAAACUAUUGUAGUACAUGCUAUCAUCUGUGUACAGAUAUUUUUUUCCUCAUAUUCAUUAAUCUUGUGAUGUAUCUUAGCAGGGCAAUCAAAUAAUAUUCAGCCAAACUGCCAGAGAAUAGUUACUCAUGAUUGCUGAGGUUAGUUUCCAACAUGAAGUGUGAAUGAAAUGCAAAAAAUGUUUAUCACUUACUUUAGCUCUUUUUAGAUAUGACUGGUCGCAAGAGAGAAAUUACAGUCAGUUUUCUUUGUUUUGGUUGUUUGCUGAGUCACUCCCAAUGUUAAUUUUUUUCUUUGUUUUAGUUGUUUGGUGUGUUGCCAUUAUCACCAGUGAAGUUGGACCUGCUGACUGCCUCAAAUAUUCUGUUCUCCUGAAUUUUAGUUUAAUUUGGUUGCUCUUAUGAAAACUGAUAGCGUAUGUAUAUUGCCAAAAAAUACAAAGCAAUUUUUUUCCCUUAAUUCGGAGAAAGUUAUCUGUCUGAAGUUAAGUGGUUGAGUUUUUGUUGCAUUUGGGGCAUAAAUAUUAAGUCCUCGAGACAAAACCACAAUCACAUCUGUCUAUGUUUACAAUAAUUGGUUGGAAUAAUUAUGUAAGAAAAUUGGUAGAUCCCAGUUUAAGUUUAAGAUAGGUGAGGGAGCAUAAUGUAAGUGUUCGGUUACUUAAGUGGGAUUGCUUUAACUAAUGAGCUCUUAUGAUUCACUUGAAGAUAACGUUGAGGAUGAGUUGUUUAAUGCUAUAUUUGUCAGUGGGGAUUAUGUUACUUUGAGGUGGAUGGUUGGUAAUAGUAGUUAUUUGGACCAGGAUAUGAUGAUAAUGUGCAAUCAUAAGGUAUUUAUAAAUCUGGAAAAUAUUUUUUUCUGGAUUAUAUAUAGUUUAAUGUUUGCUUCAUGAUUUGGCCAGGCAGAAAAUUGGUGAAAUUUGAUAAAUGAUUCAACUUGUCCUUGUGUAUAUCAUUGUGCGUUUUUAUGGUAAGAAGUUGAAUUUUUUGUCAUAAAUAUGUAUUGCAUUGCACAAGGAAGAAACUGUUUCAUGAACCAUUUCUUACCAGUGAGGUUUAAAACCAAAAUCGUUACCUUGUAUGCUAUAUCUUACUAAUUUUUUCUUUAUCACCUAAUGGAAUUGGUCCAUUAUGUUCAGGUAGUACUUGAGGGACCUAAUAUUCCGUGUUUUUUUCAAACUAAUUUUUAGUGUUUGGAUUACUUUCUGGGGUUUCAAAAACUUUUGCUAUAUGUGAUUCCUGUUGAUUUUUAAGGUGUGCAUGCGAGAAGAAUUCGAGUUAUUGGAGAAGUAACAUGUAAUGAUCGCUGCUCAUGGGAACCUUUGGGAUCAGUCAUAAUGUAUCUUGACAAAGCUAACUUCCCAAGAGGUGAGGAGUCAAAUUGAUUGGAAUUGUUAACAUGUUGUCAUUAUCUUAAUUUUGUACGGUUUAAGAGACAUUUGAGCCUUUCCAUUAUCAGGUUAUAUAGGUUUGGAACUUUCUACUGGUACACCCAUGCUUUACGAAUUCGAGGAUGGAAGCCUAAUUCAAAAGGGAAACCCAGAGGCACCAAUGCUGGGGUUCAUGCUUAACACUAGGUAUGCAGUUUUCUAAUAAGAGGAAAAGAACGAAGAAAAAUAAGGUUUCUAAUAGUUAUUUCCUUUUUUUUUCAUUGUAUCCUGUAAUGAUUAAAGAUAUCAGCCACUUAUGAAUUUACACUCAAAGUAAUGUUGACAAAUUUUUUUUUUUAAAUUGUGCAUAUUUCUCGUUUUUGUGUGCUCACCAGUAUGUAUGGUGUGUAUUACUUGAAGUGGAAAGAUACAUAGAUUUGUGUUUUUUUGGCUCCUUUCUGUAGAUGUCAGCAUGUUUGAGUGAUGUAUCCUUUCACCCUAUUCCAUUCGUAUUUCCAGAUUUUGAAGGAAUUAGCUGUUGUAUCUUCAAAUUUACUCUAUUUGGAUUAAGAAAGUAAUUUUUUUUCUCUUCAAAUUAUUGAUUUAAAAGCUUGUUGUUUUCUUCAAUCAACAGUGAGUAAUGAAUGUACUUCAACUUCAGAAAGAACAAGGCAGGGACGCUAUUUGAAGAUCAAAUGAAGCUGCAAAGAGCUCUCUAUAAAAUGAGAUGAUUGACUUUGAUUAGUGAGAGAAGUCGGCCUUGAAGAGUGACUCAGAAUCAUGUGUCAGUAUGUCAUACAAAGGCUAAUUCAGCAGCAUUUUUGUGGCAAUAUAGCUUUUGUUUGAGCAAGUAAUGAGACAAAUUCACUGAAAUUCUUUGAAUGCCAGCAAAAAUGAGGCUACAUCUUUACCAAAUGGUAACUGUUGGGGAGACUUGUCCACUUCAGUAACUGCAGAAAAUGUGUGUAUGUUUGUCUUGUUUUGUUUCUUAAGUGCUGGAACUGGUGGAUGAAGCUGUAGAUGCCGUAGGAAGAGUGGAUAGAUUUCUUGUUUGUCAAUUUCCAAUUUAUUUUCUUGUAAGAUUACAAAUAGUUUCUUAUAUGAUAUUUAUGCUCUUAUGAGUGUUUAUUUUGUACAAAACAAAGUAGAACCAGGAAAUAAGAGAGGUUCUUGAUUGGUGGAAAAAUAACCAUUAUGGUUUUGAUCUUAUCAAUAUUUAUUUUAAGCCAACAACUCAUUAAUCAUGUUGCAUGAGUCAGUCAGGCAUUUUAUGACGAGUAUAUGUGCUCAGAUAGGAAUGUAAAAAGUUUUUUUGUUAUCGGGUGCGAUUUAUGCCUCCUAGCUGCUCCAUUCAAUGUGAAGUACAUUGGUUAUAAUUUUGGUCUCCACGCAAUUAUCCCUUCAUACACGAACACAAUAACCAAUAAAUUUGAGCAUUAGUCAAUUUUGUUAAUCAUAUGAUAGAUCUGAUGUCUCAGGAGAUAGUUAUCAUGAGAUUAAGUGUAGUUUACUCCUUUUUAAAACAAAUGAAGAUGGAGCAAAGACACUUCAUGAGAUUAAGUGUAGUUUACUCCUUUUUAAAACAAAUGAAGAUGGAGCAAAGACACUUCAUGAUGGGUGAUGCUAUGAAGUCAUUAAUCAUUCCUUUUCAGGAUGUUUCAAACCUUUUCAAGUUUCGCGUGCACAGAACAACUUAAACAUCAUUUAAAUUCUUUGGAAUGAGGGAAAUCAGGAAUAUGCUAGAAUCCAAAUGAAGUUAAAAUGAUAGAUCUUUACAUAAGAUACUAGCAAUUGUAUUGGCAUUUUCGACCUUGAUCAAUUGUGUGAAGGUUAUAAUGUCUACAUAUUUGUAAAUUAAUUUCACGAAUAGUGUGCCAUCAUAUUGUGUUGGUUAGACAUCCGAAAACUAGAUCUCGGCCUUGGGUCCUUGUAGUUGUCUCUUGACCAAUGCUGUGUAAAUGCCAUUCCUACUUAACAGCUCAUCGUGAGUUCCACUUUCA
rnacentral:lncRNA from 1 species